GUCGCGGGUAGAGCUGCCAACGAUGAAGCGGCAACAUCUUGGGAGGCUACGGGUGGAGAGGGCCAUGAAGGACGUGCCGGGCUCACACACAAUGCACUGUACCUCGCAGAACACACCACCAGAAGCAACACCAAGUACUCCUUUUCCUCAAGAAUACCCACAGGGGAGCGGAAGGAACGCAGAGGGACACGCAGGGUGUGCGUGAGAUGCGCGCAGAGUGGCUGGGAAGGAAAGCCACCGUCAUUACCGAACUUGGAACCGUUUCCCACAGGCUCGUGCUUGGACUUACUACGGAGGGAAUUCUGGGUCCAACUAUUUCAUAAAGUUAAACCUCCGGGUCUGACCAAAAGUGACGCCUGCACCGAGAGCCAGAUGGUGGAGGGGUUGUUUCUCAGAAAGCUCUGAAUUGUUGCUAUCUUGCUGAGUCAUGAAUUGUGAAUGUCCUGCAGAUCCUUCUUCGCUAAGGACUCAGGAACUGUUGACUGAUCAAUGGAAUUUUGCUGACAAAUGUAUUUAGGCAAAGAAAGCCUCUGCUGAUCAUCAGGCUUUCUGUGCUGUCGAACCAACCUCCACCUGCUGAUGGUUGGGCUGGAAUGCUGCCACCAGUUCUCUUUCCUAGAUUGGCUAACAGUGGUAGAGAAUGAGCCAAUCAUGAGUCUUAAUGAGAUGAGGCAUUUGUGUUAACACACUAAUAAUAGCUUAUUAGCAAAAGAUACUAAUUAUAUGGGUAGGGUUGCCCCCAGUCCAAAUUAUUUUUUCUCUCAGAAGAAACUUUUGUCUCCAUCAUGAUCUGAGCUAGAGUUCCCCAUCUAAGACCAUAUAUCAUCAUCAGAUUGAAUGGAGCUAAAUGCAGUUUCCAACUUUAACACUUUCAGAACCAUUAAAGAUGUCAGAAAGCAAUUUUCUCACAAGAGGGUGAAGGAAAUCUGGCUCAUUCUCCAGCAACACACUGUUAUGGGUCAGAAUUAUUUGGAGGCCUGGAAACUGAGACUAAACGAUUUUCUGUUGUGUGUGUGAAAUGAUUUUCUCAUAAAUGAGAAAGAAAUCAGUUUUGAUCUCAAUCAAUGGUAGAACAGACUUGAGGGGCUAAAUGAUUAAUUUUAAUCUUAAAAAAAUGCAGCGUUCACCAACAGUGGCCAUAGCAGAACAUAACUGAACUCUGAAGGCCUAUGAAAUACAAACUUUGCCUUUCCCUUUUCCAGGGAAAUAUCCAGUGAAUUUCCCAAACAUUGUGGUCUCCUCUAACCUGUGAUUUACAGAACCCGUGUCUAGUUCUCUGUUUUUCUCAUCUCAUUCAGGAGAUAUGUGACUGCUAGGUGAGAAUCGGAAAGGGGACGGGCUGCAUUGGACAGAGUUGAUGGUGUGCGAAAGAUGGACCGUAAUAGUGAAGGCUAGCUUAAAGGAGCACUUGUACUUUAGCAGGUGUCUAACUUUCAUGUGUUCAUAUCUUAAAAAGAAGGACGGGUUUGGCAUUUCUCCAGAUCAAAGAAAAUUGAAAGUUGACUUUUCUUACAAUUGUGGAAAGAAUUUAUGAAUUUUCAGCACCAAUUUCAGUCACGUCUUAUUUUAGGUCUCAUCAAUUGAAAGAGUUAAGAGGUUUGACGGGUCGGUCAUCAAAGUCUACAUUUCUGGCAUUUUAUUAUCUGGCCCCUAUUUGUCUCUUGAUCAUACAGACUUAGUAUCAAUUUACAGCAUUCUAAUUCCAUCUCAUUGCCAAAAAGUUUAUCAUAGAGAUUAGAUAUAUUGGCAAAAAAAUCUACGGGAAUAAAAUAGAUCAUUCAUGGACACUGUUUAUAACAGUAAAUAUUUUCCCAAUGUUUCAUUCUUACCUGUAAAGUAUUUCCACAAAUAAAUGCAACUUAAAUUUUUAUUUAAAUUUGCAAGUCAUUGUAAUGGAUAUUAUUUUUGCUGCAGGUUUAUAGAGACUCUGGCUAUCCUAGGCAAUAACAAGGCUGUAUUAUUGAAGUUGGAACGAAUGGAGCUACAGGCCAAUAUGCUUUAUCAUGACUAAUUUCUUCUCCGUUGGAAUAAUAACAGCUAAUUCUUGUCAUUUGGGUGCUCCCCUGUCAGGAUUUCUUUGUUCUCUCUCACUAAAUAUGAAAUUCAUUACUCUUUAAAUUCAUUGCUGCAGUCCUAUCAACUGCUGCAACUUACACAGGCAGCACAAGGAUACUCCAGAUUGUAUAUUUGAUGAAUUUAAUGUGACUAAUUAAAGCAAAGAUAUUUUAUAUUUUAGUCCUUAGGAAAAUUAAAGUGUCAGAGUGAAGUUGUAAUGAGCCAAAAGAUAUGACUUAUAUUGUGGAGUUUCCUGGGGAUGUUCUGAUUGUGAGCUGUGACCUCCUUACACUUGUAAGCCAAGGCAUUGAUAUUUUGUCAUUAGGUGAUAGAAUUGAGAAAGCAAUGAUGCCCUGGCUGAAGGAUUGCAAUGUGACAUUGGGAACAGUGAAGCAGAAUGGGAAAUUCAAUCAGUGCAAGGCUCACUAUGAGGAGCACAUGACUCCAAAUUGUCAUUUAAACUGAGCCAGAACUGUGAGACAAAUGUGGCCUCAUUUUAUGUGACCCAACAAAAUGCCGUAAGUUGAUGAGGGCGUUAGAGAUAACACUAUAAACAGCUAUGUGAGCCUGUUCAAGAGUGGUCUUGAGAGUGAAGCCCAGAGAAAGAGUACAAAUUGCAACAGGACACUCAUGUUAUUCAAACCUAUUAAAUGGUCAAAAGUCUACCUUAUAUGGCGAACAGCUAUCGGGAAAAAAAAGACAUAAUGGAAGCUGUUAAAAAAGGAUUUGUUACAACUGUUUCAGUCAGUUGUUUUGAUGCAUUUGAAGAUCUGUAGAACAGUAAUUCAGAUACAGCAUUGAAUGUGUUGACUGUAAAUGUGCUGAUGCCCUUCCUCUUCUUUCACUUCCUACUGUUCUUUCUAAUCAAAACCCUGUGAUUGUAAGCAUCAAAGGAUAUCGAAAAAUAACUUACAGGAAUGAUUUUGGAUGAAGAGACUUCAAUAACAAGGAGAAGCUGGGGUGGUUUGCAAAAGAAACAAUGGGGAAAUGAGGAAAAACCUAUUUAUGCUAAGGCUACUUAGGAUUUAAAUGUAGUGCCUGAGAGUGUGGUGGGAAUGUAUUCAAUUGCGGCUUUCGAAAAGGAAUUGGAAAAAUGUGUCUGAAGAGAAAACAAUGCAGGAUUAUGGGGAUGGUAAACAGGAAGUAGGCCUAUCUGUGUUGUCCUUAUAUUGUCAUGAUGAACCAAAUUGCCACCUUCUGUAUUGUAACUGCUCUUUGAUUCAAUGUUGGAAAGAGUUUCUUUGAGCAACUUUGGUAAUUAUGCUUGUGGUUCACUGUAAGUAUAAACAUCGAGCAAUUUACAACUUCCUUGAACUCAAACACAUUGAUGAUAAUUGUUUGGAUCACUCCCUUGGAGAAUUUACUUCAAAUUGGUUGCUUACUCUAUGGUGCUACACAAAUUGAGUUAUAAUUUAUAACGUACUGUGUUGAUAUGUGUAGGAAAAAAAGUCAGAAAGUAAUUUGUCUACACAGACAUUCUUUAUAGGCUUCUCUACUGACCAAUAGAAACAACUUGAAAACUACCAUUCUGGAUUUAUUGAAUCCUGCAUUUGUGGCUAUUAAAUCUGUAAACCGACACAUCUACUGUCUUCCAACUGGGCCAAACCAUAGCCUACGUAUACUGGCGUACAGUUUUAUGUCUUGUGCAUUGUCAUUCUAUGUUGCUAUUUGUCAGUACUUUUGACCAUUUCAUUUAAUCCAGUUUUCUCAGCUAGUCAAAAUCAGAUUUUCUACAAUAUAUUGACAUUGUUUCAUCAUACUUUGAUCAUUUUCUAUUAUAACUUUGAAGCAUAUUUUAUAAUGCUCAUUAAGACAUAAGAGGCCACCAUCUUUUACUUGCUGUGGUACAUUUGCUAGCAUUGCGUUCUGCUGUCUGAGGGUCCUAUACUGAUUGUAUUGAGGCCAGCCAGGUGGACUUCAUAGAAUAUGAAUUCCCUGAUCGGGGCUGUUAACCAGGCUGACAGAUAUAAACAGGAAUGUCAGAGGUUCCAUUCGCUCUGAGAGCUGACUCUGAGGAAGAUAGGCCAGAGUCAAGUACUAUGCACAUGCAAAUAAAGGGUGGCUUGGUGAUGUGGUACCAGCCUCUGUUUAGAUA